rnacentral:rRNA from 1 species
GGCUGAAGUUAGAGGUCCUGCCUGCCCCGUGACAUUAAGUUUAACGGCCGCGGUAUUAUGACCGUGCAAAGGUAGCGUAAUCACNUUGUCUUUUUAAAUAAAGACCAGUAUGAAGCAAGACGAAAGUUCAACUGUCUCCCUAAAUUAAUCAGUGAAAUUGAUUUCUCCGUGCAGAAGCGGAGAUAUAAUUAUAAGACGAGAAGACCCUAUGGAGCUUUAAACAUAUAAUCAAUUGUAUUUCAUAAAAUCCGAAAGAUAAAAUAUAAAAUAAAACAAUAUGAUUAAAAUUUUAGGUUGGGGCGACCACGGAGAAAAACAAAACCUCCGAGAUGAAAAGAAUAUCUUAAUUUAAGAACCACAAUUCCAAAAAAUAAAAUAUUUAACAUAAUUGAUCCAAUAUUUUGAUCAACGAACCAAGUUACCCUAGGGAUAACAGCGCAAUCCUCUCCAAGAGUCCCUAUCGACGAGUGGGUUUACGACCUCGAUGUUGGAUCAGGACACCCCAAUGGUGCAGCCGCUAUUAAAGGUUCGUUUGUUCAACGAUUAAAGUCCUACGUGAUCGAU